AGUGAACGCUGGCGAUAGGCCUAACACAUGCAAGUCGAACGGCAGCACAGUAAGAGCUUGCUCUUACGGGUGGCGAGUGGCGGACGGGUGAGGAAUACAUCGGAAUCUACUUUUUCGUGGGGGAUAACGUAGGGAAACUUACGCUAAUACCGCAUACGACCUACGGGUGAAAGCAGGGGAUCUUCGGACCUUGCGCGAUUGAAUGAGCCGAUGUCGGAUUAGCUAGUUGGCGGGGUAAAGGCCCACCAAGGCGACGAUCCGUAGCUGGUCUGAGAGGAUGAUCAGCCACACUGGAACUGAGACGCGGUCCAGACUCCUACGGGAGGCAGCAGUGGGGAAUAUUGGACAAUGGGCGCAAGCCUGAUCCAGCCAUACCGCGUGGGUGAAGAAGGCCUUCGGGUUGUAAAGCCCUUUUGUUGGGAAAGAAAAGCAGCAGGUUAAUACCCCGCUGUUCUGACGGUACCCAAAGAAUAAGCACCGGCUAACUUCGUG
rnacentral:rRNA from 1 species